GGGUUGUGAGGUUAAGCGACUAAGCGUACACGGUGGAUGCCUAGGCAGUCAGAGGCGAUGAAGGGCGUGCUAAUCUGCGAAAAGCGUCGGUAAGGUGAUAUGAACCGUUACAACCGACGAUACCCGAAUGGGGAAACCCAGUGCAAUUCGUUGCACUAUUGCAUGGUGAAUACAUAGCCAUGCAAGGCGAACCGGGGGAACUGAAACAUCUAAGUACCCCGAGGAAAAGAAAUCAACCGAGAUUCCCCUAGUAGCGGCGAGCGAACGGGGAGGAGCCCAGAGUCUGAAUCAGUUUGUGUGUUAGUGGAAGCGUCUGGAAAGUCGCACGGUACAGGGUGAUAGUCCCGUACACAAAAACACACUUGCUGUGAACUCGAUGAGUAGGGCGGGACACGUGACAUCCUGUCUGAAUAUGGGGGGACCAUCCUCCAAGGCUAAAUACUCCUGACUGACCGAUAGUGAACCAGUACCGUGAGGGAAAGGCGAAAAGAACCCCGGCGAGGGGAGUGAAAUAGAACCUGAAACCGUGUACGUACAAGCAGUGGGAGCACCUUCGUGGUGUGACUGCGUACCUUUUGUAUAAUGGGUCAGCGACUUAUAUUUUGUAGCAAGGUUAACCGAAUAGGGGAGCCGUAGGGAAACCGAGUCUUAACUGGGCGUCUAGUUGCAAGGUAUAGACCCGAAACCCGGUGAUCUAGCCAUGGGCAGGUUGAAGGUUGGGUAACACUAACUGGAGGACCGAACCGACUAAUGUUGAAAAAUUAGCGGAUGACUUGUGGCUGGGGGUGAAAGGCCAAUCAAACCGGGAGAUAGCUGGUUCUCCCCGAAAGCUAUUUAGGUAGCGCCUCGUGAACUCAUCUUCGGGGGUAGAGCACUGUUUCGGCUAGGGGGUCAUCCCGACUUACCAAACCGAUGCAAACUCCGAAUACCGAAGAAUGUUAUCACGGGAGACACACGGCGGGUGCUAACGUCCGUCGUGAAGAGGGAAACAACCCAGACCGCCAGCUAAGGUCCCAAAGUCAUGGUUAAGUGGGAAACGAUGUGGGAAGGCAUAGACAGCCAGGAUGUUGGCUUAGAAGCAGCCAUCAUUUAAAGAAAGCGUAAUAGCUCACUGGUCGAGUCGGCCUGCGCGGAAGAUGUAACGGGGCUAAACCAUGCACCGAAGCUGCGGCAGCGACACUUAGGUGUUGUUGGGUAGGGGAGCGUUCUGUAAGCCGUUGAAGGUGACCUGUGAGGGUUGCUGGAGGUAUCAGAAGUGCGAAUGCUGACAUAAGUAACGAUAAUGCGGGUGAAAAACCCGCACGCCGGAAGACCAAGGGUUCCUGUCCAACGUUAAUCGGGGCAGGGUGAGUCGACCCCUAAGGCGAGGCUGAAAAGCGUAGUCGAUGGGAAACAGGUUAAUAUUCCUGUACUUGGUGUUACUGCGAAGGGGGGACGGAGAAGGCUAGGCUAGCCGGGCGACGGUUGUCCCGGUUUAAGCAUGUAGGCGGAGUGACUUGGUAAAUCCGGUUGCUUAUCAACGCUGAGGUGUGAUGACGAGCCACUACGGUGGUGAAGUAGUUGAUGCCAAGCUUCCAGGAAAAGCCUCUAAGCAUCAGGUAACAUUAAAUCGUACCCCAAACCGACACAGGUGGUCAGGUAGAGAAUACUCAGGCGCUUGAGAGAACUCGGGUGAAGGAACUAGGCAAAAUGGUGCCGUAACUUCGGGAGAAGGCACGCUGGCAUUAGGUAAUGGGACUUGCUCCCGGCGCCGAAGCCAGUCGCAGAUACCAGCUGGCUGCAACUGUUUAAUAAAAACACAGCACUGUGCAAACACGAAAGUGGACGUAUACGGUGUGACGCCUGCCCGGUGCUGGAAGGUUAAUUGAUGGGGUCAGCCUUACGGCGAAGCUCUUGAUCGAAGCCCCAGUAAACGGCGGCCGUAACUAUAACGGUCCUAAGGUAGCGAAAUUCCUUGUCGGGUAAGUUCCGACCUGCACGAAUGGCGUAAUGAUGGCCAGGCUGUCUCCACCCGAGACUCAGUGAAAUUGAACUCGCUGUGAAGAUGCAGUGUACCCGCGGCAAGACGGAAAGACCCCGUGAACCUUUACUAUAGCUUGACACUGAACAUUGAGCCUUGAUGUGUAGGAUAGGUGGGAGGCAUUGAAGUGUGGACGCCAGUCUGCAUGGAGCCAACCUUGAAAUACCACCCUUUAAUGUUUGAUGUUCUAACUCGGCCCCGUGAUCCGGGGUGAGGACAGUGUCUGGUGGGUAGUUUGACUGGGGCGGUCUCCUCCCAAAGAGUAACGGAGGAGCACGAAGGUUAGCUAAUCACGGUCGGACAUCGUGAGGUUAGUGCAAAGGCAUAAGCUAGCUUGACUGCGAGAGUGACGGCUCGAGCAGGUACGAAAGUAGGUCUUAGUGAUCCGGUGGUUCUGAAUGGAAGGGCCAUCGCUCAACGGAUAAAAGGUACUCCGGGGAUAACAGGCUGAUACCGCCCAAGAGUUCAUAUCGACGGCGGUGUUUGGCACCUCGAUGUCGGCUCAUCACAUCCUGGGGCUGAAGUAGGUCCCAAGGGUAUGGCUGUUCGCCAUUUAAAGUGGUACGCGAGCUGGGUUUAGAACGUCGUGAGACAGUUCGGUCCCUAUCUGCCGUGGGCGUUGGAAGAUUGAGAGGGGCUGCUCCUAGUACGAGAGGACCGGAGUGGACGAAUCACUGGUGUUCGGGUUGUCAUGCCAAUGGCAUUGCCCGGUAGCUAAAUUCGGAAGAGAUAACCGCUGAAAGCAUCUAAGCGGGAAACUUGCCUCGAGAUGAGUCUUCCCUGGGGCUUUAAGCCCCCUGAAGGAACGUUAAAGACUAUGACGUUGAUAGGCUGGGUGUGUAAGUGCAGCGAUGCAUUGAGCUAACCAGUACUAAUGAUCCGUGAGGCUUAACCUUACAACACCAAAGGUGUUUUG
rnacentral:rRNA from 1 species